rnacentral:rRNA from 1 species
CCUACGGGAGGCAGCAGUAAGGAAUAUUGGUCAAUGGGCGCAAGCCUGAACCAGCCAUGCCGCGUGCAGGAUGAAGGACCUAUGGUUUGUAAACUGCUUUUGUGCGAGAGAAGACCCUCCUACGUGUAGGAGGCUGAUAGUAUCGCAAGAAUAAGCAUCGGCUAACUUCGUGCCAGCAGCCGCGGUAAU